rnacentral:rRNA from 1 species
GACGAACGCUGGCGGCGUGCCUAAUACAUGCAAGUCGAACGCAGUGGGGACGGGUGAGUAACACGUGGGUAACCUCCCAUCAGAGGGGAUAACACUUGGAAACAGGUGCUAAACCGAUACUGAUGGAUGGACCCGCGGUGCAUUAGCUAGUUGGUGAGGUAACGGCUCACCAAGGCCAUGAUGCAUAGCGGCCUGGGGGGGGGGAGCGGCCAAACGGGGACGGAGACAGGUCCCAGACUCCUAGGGGAGGCAGCAUUGGGGAAUUUUCGGCAAGGGACGAAAGUCUGACCGAGCAACGCGGGGUGGGUGAAGAAGUUUUCCGGUUCGUAAAACUCUGUUGUUAGAGAAGCGGUAUCUAACCAGAAAGCCACGGCUAACUACGUGCCAGCCGCCGCGGUAAUC